AUGCAAAAUCGAAGGACUGGACACCAUUGUGUUUGUAAAUGGAGGUGGCUUGUGCCAAGGAAGUUGUCUGAGGAAAAUGUGCCACGACCACAAGCUUUAUUUCCGAUUUAUGAAAAAUCAAGCACAGCGCACAAAGGGCUCAACAUAUAUCGAGGGUCAGGGUACAACAUCAUGCUAGCACAUUCACGAGGACGACUCUGCGACUGCGAAGCUGAACCCAGAGCCUUGCAGUGCCUCCUCGACGAUGUUGUCCAGCCGCUCCGCCAUAGCCGGCGUGAUGUGGCUGCCACUCUUGUUCAUGGCCAUGUUCUUCAAGCUCUCGAGGCUGCACAGCUUCACGAUGGCCUGCACCACUCCGUCGGCCUCCUCCUCACCGGAGAACGGGCACCCCAUGAACUCCGCCAGCUUCUUCACGUUGCUCACGGGGUCCCGAAGCAUCUGCUCGUACGGGAAGAAGAGCACCCUGAAGCACGAGACAGGGUUGAUCAAGGAGUAUCAGAUGCUUAA
rnacentral:rRNA from 1 species